UAGAGUUUGAUCCUGGCUCAGAUUGAACGCUGGCGGCAUGCCUUACACAUGCAAGUCGAACGGUAACAGGUCUUUGGAUGCUGACGAGUGGCGAACGGGUGAGUAAUACAUCGGAACGUGCCCGAUCGUGGGGGAUAACGAAGCGAAAGCUUUGCUAAUACCGCAUACGAUCUACGGAUGAAAGCAGGGGACCGCAAGGCCUUGCGCGAACGGAGCGGCCGAUGGCAGAUUAGGUAGUUGGUGGGAUAAAAGCUUACCAAGCCGACGAUCUGUAGCUGGUCUGAGAGGACGACCAGCCACACUGGGACUGAGACACGGCCCAGACUCCUACGGGAGGCAGCAGUGGGGAAUUUUGGACAAUGGGCGAAAGCCUGAUCCAGCCAUGCCGCGUGCAGGAUGAAGGCCUUCGGGUUGCAAACUGCUUUUGUACGGAACGAAAAGACUCUGGUUAAUACCUGGGGUCCAUGACGGUACCGUAAGAAUAAGCACCGGCUAACUACGUGCCAGCAGCCGCGGUAAUACGUAGGGUGCAAGCGUUAAUCGGAAUUACUGGGCGUAAAGCGUGCGCAGGCGGUUAUAUAAGACAGAUGUGAAAUCCCCGGGCUCAACCUGGGAACUGCAUUUGUGACUGUAUAGCUAGAGUAC
rnacentral:rRNA from 1 species